UACAGAGGGGGCAAGCGUUGUUCGGAAUUACUGGGCGUAAAGGGCUCGUAGGUGGCCAACUAAGUCAGACGUGAAAUCCCUCGGCUUAACCGGGGAACUGCGUCUGAUACUGGAUGGCUGGAGAUUGGGAGAGGGAUGCGGAAUUCCAGGUGUAGCGGUGAAAUGCGUAGAUAUCUGGAGGAACACCGGUGGCGAAGGCGGCAUCCUGGACCAACACUGACGCUGAGGAGCGAAAGCCAGGGGAGCAAACGGG
rnacentral:rRNA from 1 species